AGAAGCACCGGCUAACUCCGUGCCAGCAGCCGCGGUAAUACGGAGGGUGCGAGCGUUAAUCGGAAUUACUGGGCGUAAAGCGUACGCAGGCGGUUUGUUAAGCGAGAUGUGAAAGCCCCGGGCUUAACCUGGGAACUGCAUUUCGAACUGGCAGGCUAGAGUGUGAUAGAGGGUGGUAGAAUUUCAGGUGUAGCGGUGAAAUGCGUAGAGAUCUGAAGGAAUACCGAUGGCGAAGGCAGCCACCUGGGUCAACACUGACGCUCAUGUACGAAAGCGUGGGGAGCAAACAGGAUUAGAUACCCUGGUAGUCCACGCCGUAAACGAUGUCUACUAGGAGCUCGGCUUUUCGGAGCUGUUUUCCAAAGCAAACGCAUUAAGUAGACCGCCUGGGGAGUACGGCCGCAAGGUUAAAACUCAAAGGAAUUGACGGGG
rnacentral:rRNA from 1 species